AGGCGAGGUCAUAGAAGUUUCACACAAAUUUCUUGUCAUACAGAGACUUUUGGUGCUCGAGUGUGAUGAUGCGGUCUUUCAUGGAGAUUCCUAUGGGAGUGGCAAUUAUUUGUUGAAGGAACCAAUCUAUAUUUAUUUCCUGUGUUUUUCAAAGAAACAUAUUCAUACCUGGCUUUGGGGACAAGAUUUCCAAAAAGUAUUUAUUUGACAGACAGAGAGAGAGCGAGCACAAGAAGG